rnacentral:lncRNA from 1 species
AACAUUCCAUGCUUGCUGUAUUCAUAUGGUGGAUUACCGAAGUCGAGUAGGCAGGCAAAAUCCCCAUGUAACUGUCAAAAAUGACUUAUGUAGAUUUCAAAUAUACACAGACAUUUAGGAUAAGAUCCAAAUGGCUCUGCAUGGCUUAUAAAACGCUACAUACUCUGCCCACUGUGCACCUAAAAAAAAAAAAAAAGAAAAUUAAUAAUAUACUUUGUACUGGUAA